UGACAACAGGAUGGGUUUUAGUCAUCUUUCCCAUCCUCCACAAAAUGUGCUGCAGCUUUCCUCAUAAGAUGAACAACCAUGGCCCAAAUCAUGUCCUCUGUUGUGGAAGAAGUAGCCCUGAUGUUUGGUUAUAAAGGCUUUACAAAGGGG